UGUGUAGAUGCUUAAAAAAGAAGCAAGCAUGCGUUGACCGAUUGAUUUUGUUUGACUUUGACGUUUUAUGUGUUAUCUCUCUUGUAAUUGGUAAUGACUUGCUUGCUGAGGGACUAUCGCUGCCUCCUUUCUCUUGACUGUCUUUUGACAAGGAAACAUGUGGGGAUGGCUGUGAAGAGUACUGCAAAAUUGAGAUACCCAGAGGUGCUGUUACCUUCUUCAUCAUUCAGUCGUCAAGAGACUGGUAAGAUUAAAGCAAUCCAAAGCCAGGAGGAAGCAGCUGCAGCACCUGCUUCCGCGAGGCGACACUAGAAUAUAGAAGGAGACUUCUGUGUAGAUCACACAUGCGUAGAUUGCGAUGCCUGCCGUUGGAUGGCUCCAGUAAUCCUUCUAAUUGGUUUUUCUUUUCUAGUCCAACUCCAAUAAUUCUUUAUUUUUAGUACUUUUUGUUUAACUGGAUUAAUACUUAUUAGGAUUACUGCAUAGGUUCCAUUCAACGUAAUAAAUUGACAAACUUCACACAAACGUCUAAAAAAAAUAAAAUGAAAUUGAUAUCUCAAAAAAAAAAAAAACGAAUUGGUGAGAUGUCUGCAGUUGUUUUUAAGCAGCCAACUUCUGGGGAGGAACGCCUCAAAGCUCUUCAGGUGCCUUUGCAAUUUGAUUCUUUCGUUGCUGUUUUAGCUAACUUAUGGAGGUCAUUUACCUUUCAGACAAAAUUUCCUAUCAGCCUCUGAAUACAUCGCCCCUCCCCCAUCCAUAGUUGACUAGUUUGGGAAGCAGUUAUCUGCCUUGGUUGUUCAAGGAAAUACUAUAUGAUCUUUAAGAGUUCUCUUCUAGUAGAGUUAUAAAAAGUUAGUGGAUGCGUAUAAGUUGGCUGCUAGUUUUGGAUGUCCACUGGGGUGUGGCGGCGGCACUCCCUUCAUGUAGGAAGAAAUGCAAAAAUGGAUUCUUCUGGAAGGAGGGCUUUAAGGCUUCAAAUCGAAAAUGGUUUUGUAGUUAUUGAUGAUGACCUGGAGUGGAAGUUGGCUAACCUUUUAUAUUACAUUGUUGUCCACAUUAAUUUUUCAUUCAAUCAAAGGAAGAUUCUACUACACGGCGGAUGAGAAGAGUAAGAGAUAUGCUUAUCUGCACAAGUUGAGUUUCUGGAUUUUCUAGUGCAUUCUUAAGCCAGGUGUUUACGUACUUUGCCAACUUCAUUCCAUUUUUUCUAAUCUUCUGCCCCCGAUUUCUGUCUGUAGCACAAUGGGCUUUGCCUCAUUUUAUCCUACUGUCGCAAACCUUUUAGCUUGUCUUUGAUCGGCUCGAUAAAAGUUUGACCUUUAACGUUACUGAUUGCACAUAAUUUGAUCCAAUUGUACUGGUCUAACUGUUUACAUUUUAGGCCUCACUUUCUUGUCCAACGAGUUCAAUCCAUACCGAGAAACCUGCUCCAGAUUUGUUCAAGCACAGAAGACAUUUCCUACACCAAUUGAUCAGCAGAAAAUACCGGGUGUGUAUCACUGUGGAUAUCAUUCGGAGAAAUCUUACGGAGCAGCUUCCUUCUUGAUUGUUCGUCCUGAAGGAAAUAUAAUUAUAGACAGGAUACACAGAGAGACUGGUGCGUAGCAUUGAAAUGCUAGGUGGAGCAUGUUACAUGUUUCUUACCCAUGAGGAUGAUGUUGCAGAACAUAGGAAGUGGCCAGAGAGGUUAAACCGUGACAGAAUUCUGCACUCAGAAGAUGUACCUUCUUGCUUAGGCUCCUCCUGAUGCAUCUUUUUACUUUGCCUUCAGAUUCUUUGACGUAUUUCCUCCCUGACUCUCCUGACAUGGGUGAUGUGGAAAGUAACUGAAUCCAUGCUUAAAGAGGACGUUGGCUUGAACAUCACUAGCAACCCUAGAAUAUUUCACUGCAUCUGUUCUCUCUAUCACUGACCUCUGCGAAGGAGGGAUUCAGUAGUUUGCAUCUCCGUUUUAUGUAUGACAAAAUGGUUGACAACUCUACUGCUGAUGUUGAAACAAAGCUACAGGGUAGUGGUUCAUGGAAACCUGGAAUGUAUGUCCAGCUUAUACAUACUCCAGGCCACACAGAAGUGAGUUGCUGGAUCUUUUGCUUAUUGGUUUUGUUAAUUCACACACUCUGCUUGGUUAAAGGCAUGUGGGGCGAAGAGAAAGAGUGGGGAAAAGGUGCGAGUGUUAGGCUGUAGACUCAUUUGGUUGGAAGGGAGGAAAUGAAAGGGUUGAUUUUUCUGAAUCUAUGAAAACCUUCAUUCAAAAAAUGAGGAGCAGAGGAAGGAAAGAAAAGAGAUUACUUCUUUUCCUUCUUCAUAAAAAGUAGUAUUAUCCUGGUGGAUCUAUACUUUUUUCCUUCUUUUCCUAAACGAAAAGAAAGCAAAUCGUACUCAUCCCCAUUUCCCUUCUUAUUUCCUCGAAUCUUUUUCUCUGUCUCAAUUUCUGUUCCCUGUCUUAUUGAUAUCUUACAUGGUCAACCUUUUUCUCUUUUUGGAAACAAAUUUCUCUGAAAACAUAGGUUGUACCACUGUAGUAAUUGCUUCUUGUUCGCAUAGCAGCGCUUUAAGCAUGUUACCUACUGAUAUAUUGCUUCCAGUUAAUUUCUGCAUUAGACAUCAAUGACAGUGUCUCUAUCUCAUGGUUGGUGCAAGGAUCAGUCUGCUUAUUCUACAAGCCACUGAAGAUAUUCUUCACUGGGACCAUCUUCUGAUGACAGAAACAGGGCUGAACAUUUGCGAGAGAUACAAUAAAUGUUCAGGCAGUUUAAGGUCAA